UCCCGUUUGGCUCAGUUGGUAGAGCAUGGUGCUUGUAACACCAGGUUUCUGGGUUUGAUUCCCACGGGGGAC
rnacentral:tRNA from 1 species